rnacentral:rRNA from 1 species
GGACUACCAGGGUAUCUAAUCCUGUUUGCUCCCCACGCUUUCGUGCAUGAGCGUCAGUAUCAUCCCAGGGGGCUGCCUUCGCCAUUGGUGUUCCUCCACAUCUCUACGCAUUUCACUGCUACACGUGGAAUUCCACCCCCCUCUGACGUACUCUAGUUGGCCAGUUCUAAACGCAGUUCCCAAGUUGAGCUCGGGGAUUUCACAUCUAGCUUAACCAACCGCCUGCGCACGCUUUACGCCCAGUAAUUCCGAUUAACGCUUGCACCCUACGUAUUACCGCGGCUGCUGGCAC